UAUAGGGUCUAUUACCAGCCAUCUGAAGAGCAGCCACUGAGCCAAAACUCCCUUCCCAACUUCUCCAGGGAUUCCUUUCUCAGAUGCUCUUUUCACAACGGCGUAUUCCUGUUCAUGUGCACUGUCUUCUAAUAUAUGCAUCUUUGUAAACACUACAAAAUUACAAAAUUAAGGUGUCAGAGAAUUCAGACAGAAACGGAAACAGAAAUUGCCAAUACUUGCUUAUUUGCCUCAUGUCUGGAAUGUGUUGUUUUCAGUCCAAAAAUGCUACAUCAAAUGAUGACAGUUCCCCCCCCCAUUUGAACUGUAUCUUCCACUGAGGCUCUUCUCCAAGAGCUGCCACCACCUAAGAUCAUGCGGGUGGCAAGAAAGUUAAAGGCUUUCCUUUUUUAAUCUUACUGUUGCUGUUUUGUCUUAAUCGGCAUUGUAAACCAC